AUCCUGCUGACGCGUCCCAAAUAGGACGAAACGCGCGUCCUGGAU
rnacentral:hammerhead_ribozyme from 1 species